UACGUAGGGUGCAAGCGUUAAUCGGAAUUACUGGGCGUAAAGUGUGCGCAGGCGGCCGAGCAAGUCGAGUGUGAAAGCCCCCGAGCUUAACUUGGGAACUGCGCUCGAAACUACUUGGCUAGAGUGUGGCAGAGGGAGGUGGAAUUCCACGUGUAGCGGUGAAAUGCGUAGAGAUGUGGAGGAACACCGAUGGCGAAGGCAGCCUCCUGGGCCAACACUGACGCUCAUGCACGAAAGCGUGGGGAGCAAACAGG
rnacentral:rRNA from 1 species